rnacentral:lncRNA from 1 species
UAACAUCUGACAGAAAUUCCAGAACCUGGCCAAAGUACAUCCUUGAAUGCAUAAUGCAAGACUCACACUUCUUUAUAAUCAUAGGGAGACAUCAUCCUCAUCCUCACUUUUUAUUAUUAUUACUUGGAUCAGGUUAGUCAGGGCAUGAUUGUGUGAGAUUUCUUUUUUAAUAGCAUUGUGUCAUGUUUGUUUGGGGAAUGUUAAGCAAGACCUGUCAUGUGUGAUAAUAGUAUAUCCUCCUUUACACAAUAUAUCUCUUGGUGUCAGGUGGUGGCAUGCUCCUAGUCCUAGUAUU